rnacentral:lncRNA from 1 species
AGGUCACACGCUUCUACCACUGGGGUGACUAUACAUCCAUUCAUUAUAACACAAAGAAUUGUACAUAUUAUAAAAACACAUUUUAUUUGACUUUUCCAUGUCAUGUCAGCAUCUUCUUCAACCUCUCUCUCUCUCUCUCUCUCUCUCUCUCUCUCUUCAUUAUAACACAAAGAAUUGUACAUAUUAUAAAAACACAUUUUAUUUGACUUUUCCAUGUCAUGUCAGCAUCUUCU